rnacentral:rRNA from 1 species
UAGGAGAACGCUGGCGGCGUGCUUAACACAUGCAAGUCGAACGAUGAUCUCCAGCUUGCUGGGGGGAUUAGUGGCGAACGGGUGAGUAACACGUGAGUAACCUGCCCUUGACUCUGGGAUAAGCCUGGGAAACUGGGUCUAAUACCGGAUACGACCAUUCCGCGCAUGCGGUGGUGGUGGAAAGCUUUUGCGGUUUUGGAUGGACUCGCGGCCUAUCAGCUUGUUGGUGGGGUAAUGGCCUACCAAGGCGACGACGGGUAGCCGGCCUGAGAGGGUGACCGGCCACACUGGGACUGAGACACGGCCCAGACUCCUACGGGAGGCAGCAGUGGGGAAUAUUGCACAAUGGGCGGAAGCCUGAUGCAGCGACGCCGCGUGAGGGAUGACGGCCUUCGGGUUGUAAACCUCUUUCAGUAGGGAAGAAGCGAAAGUGACGGUACCUGCAGAAGAAGCGCCGGCUAACUACGUGCCAGCAGCCGCGGUAAUACGUAGGGCGCAAGCGUUAUCCGGAAUUAUUGGGCGUAAAGAGCUCGUAGGCGGUUUGUCGCGUCUGCUGUGAAAGACCGGGGCUCAACUCCGGUUCUGCAGUGGGUACGGGCAGACUAGAGUGAUGUAGGGGAGACUGGAAUUCCUGGUGUAGCGGUGAAAUGCGCAGAUAUCAGGAGGAACACCGAUGGCGAAGGCAGGUCUCUGGGCAUUAACUGACGCUGAGGAGCGAAAGCAUGGGGAGCGAACAGGAUUAGAUACCCUGGUAGUCCAUGCCGUAAACGUUGGGCACUAGGUGUGGGGGACAUUCCACGUUUUCCGCGCCGUAGCUAACGCAUUAAGUGCCCCGCCUGGGGA